rnacentral:rRNA from 1 species
UACGUAGGGGGCAAGCGUUGUCCGGAUUUAUUGGGCGUAAAGAGCUCGUAGGCGGCUCGUUGCGUCGGCUGUGAAAACCCGCAGCUCAACUGUGGGCUUGCGGUCGAUACGGGCAUCACUGGAGUUCGGCAGGGGAGACUGGAAUUCCUGGUGUAGCGGUGAAAUGCGCAGAUAUCAGGAGGAACACCGGUGGCGAAGGCGGGUCUCUGGGCCGAUACUGACGCUGAGGAGCGAAAGCGUGGGGAGCGAACAGG